AGCGAACGCUGGCGGCGUGCCUAACACAUGCAAGUCGAACGUGAAAGUCCUUCGGGAUGAGUAAAGUGGCGUACGGGUGAGUAACACGUAGGUAAUCUACCUUAAAGCUUGGAAUAACCUGCCGAAAGGCGGGCUAAUACUGGAUAGUGCGAAGGCAUCGUAAGGAUGUUUUCGGGAAAGGGUACUCGCAAGAGGGCCCACUUUAAGAUGAGCCUGCUUCCCAUUAGCUAGUUGGUAGGGUAAUGGCCUACCAAGGCUUUGAUGGGUAGCUGGUCUGAGAGGAUGAUCAGCCACACUGGAACUGAAACACGGUCCAGACUCCUACGGGAGGCAGCAGUGGGGAAUAUUGCGCAAUGGACGAAAGUCUGACGCAGCAACGCCGCGUGAGUGAAGAAGGCCUUCGGGUUGUAAAGCUCUGUCGUGUGGAAGAAAAACUGUGACGAACAGAAUUGACGGUACCACAAAAGGAAGCACCGGCUAACUCCGUGCCAGCAGCCGCAGUAA
rnacentral:rRNA from 1 species